AGAAUCAACGCUGGCGGCGUGCCUAACACAUGCAAGUCGAACGAGAAAGUGGAGCAAUCCACUAGUAAAGUGGCGCACGGGUGAGUAACACGUGACUAACCUACCUUUUAGUGGGGGAUAACCUAGGGAAACCUGGGCUAAUACCGCAUAAUACCUACGGGUCAAAGCAGCAAAUGCGCUGAAAGAGGGGUCGACGGUCGAUUAGUUAGUUGGCGAGGGUAAUGGCCUACCAAGACUGUGAUCGAUAUCC
rnacentral:rRNA from 1 species